rnacentral:rRNA from 1 species
CAUAUCAAUAAGCGGAGGAAAAGAAACCAACAGGGAUUGCCCUAGUAACGGCGAGUGAAGCGGCAACAGCUCAAAUUUGAAAUCUGGCGCAAGCCCGAGUUGUAAUUUGUAGAGGAUGCUUCUAGGUAGCGACCGGUCUAAGUUCCUUGGAACAGGACGUCAUAGAGGGUGAGAAUCCCGUAUGUGACCGGCCCGCACCUUCUACGUAGCUCCUUCGACGAGUCGAGUUGUUUGGGAAUGCAGCUCUAAAUGGGAGGUAAAUUUCUUCUAAAGCUAAAUACCGGCCAGAGACCGAUAGCGCACAAGUAGAGUGAUCGAAAGAUGAAAAGCACUUUGGAAAGAGAGUUAAAAAGCACGUGAAAUUGUUGAAAGGGAAGCGCUCACAACCAGACUUCUGGGCGGUGUUCCGCCGGUCUUCUGACCGGUCUACUCACCGUCCCGAGGCCAACAUCAUCUGGGACCGCCGGAUAAGACCUUAGGAAUGUAGCUCCCCUCGGGGAGUGUUAUAGCCUGUGGUGAUGCGGCGCGUCUCGGGUGAGGUCCGCGCUUCGGCAAGGAUGUUGGCGUAAUGGUUGUCAGCGGC